rnacentral:rRNA from 1 species
GCGUAACGCGUAUACAAUCUGCCUUUCACAUAGGGGUAGCCCGAAGAAAUUUGGAUUAAUACCUAAUGGUAUAUAAGAGCGGCAUCGUUUUUAUAUUAAAGCUACGGUGGUGAAAGAUGAGUAUGCGUUCUAUUAGCUAGUUGGAGAGGUAACGGCUCCCCAAGGCGACGAUAGAUAGGGGUUCUGAGAGGGAUGUCCCCCACACUGGUACUGAGAUACGGACCAGACUCCUACGGGAGGCAGCAGUGAGGAAUAUUGGACAAUGGUCGGAAGACUGAUCCAGCCAUGCCGCGUGCAGGAUGAAGGUCCUAUGGAUUGUAAACUGCUUUUGUAAGGGAAGAAUAAGGAGUACGUGUACUUUGAUGACGGUACCUUACUAAUAAGCAUCGGCUAAC